rnacentral:rRNA from 1 species
AUUGAACGCUGGCGGCAGGCCUAACACAUGCAAGUCGAGCGAGCGGCGGACGGGUGAGUAAUGUAUGGGGAUCUGCCCGAUAGAGGGGGAUAACUACUGGAAACGGUGGCUAAUACCGCAUACUAUCGGAUGAACCACUAUGGGAUUAGCGAGUAGGGGGGGUAAAGGCUCACUUAGGCGACGAUCUCUAGCUGGGCUGAGAGGAUGAUCAGCCACACUGUGACUGAGACACGGCCCAGACUCCGACGGGAGGCAGCAGUGGGGAAUAUGGCGCUAUGGGCGCAAGCCUGAUGCAGCCAUGCCGCGUGUAUGAAGAAGUCCUGAGGGUUGUAAAGUACUUUCAGCGGGGAGGCGUUACCCGCAGAAGAAGCACCGGCUAACUCCGUGCCAGCAGCCGCGGUAAUUC